rnacentral:lncRNA from 1 species
GCAUCUCUACAUAUUCCAAAUACCAACACAACCAAGGGAUGGUCAGUUCCCGAUUUACCUAGAAUCCCUGGGUCUGACCAUCAUAGAUACAUCAUCAUACAUAUAUAUGCCUUGUUUCCCCAAUGUGCCGGGAUCAUAUGUGCAGGGUUAACGUCUUGUACCAAGUAACCAAGUUUCGGUUGGUGCUGGUUGUACAGUAGCAUGAGGCCCAGCCUUGUGAGGGCUGUGACUGACUCGAAAUUGC